rnacentral:rRNA from 1 species
GUCUUGUAAUUGGAAUGAUGGCGACUUAAACCCUCGCCAGAGUAACAAUUGGAGGGCAAGUCUGGUGCCAGCAGCCGCGGUAAUUCCAGCUCCAAUAGCGUAUAUUAAACUUGUUGCAGUUAAAAAGCUCGUAGUUGAAUUUCUGCGUUGCGUUUUUCUUGCUUUUUGCUUGACUUUCGCUUCGCUUUUUUGUUUUACUUUGAGAAAAUUAGAGUGUUUAUCGCAGACUUUUGUCUUGAAUACUUCAGCAUGGAAUAAUAGAGUAGGACCUUGGUUCUAUUUUGUUGGUUUUUGAGCCUUGGUAAUGGUUAAUAGGAACGGUUGGGGGCAUUCGUAUUUAACUGUCAGAGGUGAAAUUCUUAGAUUUGUUAAAGACGAACUACUGCGAAAGCAUUUGCCAAGGACGUUUUCAUUAAUCAAGAACGAAAGUUAGGGGAUCGAAGACGAUCAGAUACCGUCGUAGUCCUAACCAUAAACUAUGCCGACUAGGGAUUGGAGGUCGUCAUUUUGUUGACUCCUUCAGCACCUUGAGAGAAAUCAAAGUCUUUGG